rnacentral:tRNA from 1 species
GCCGCGGAAGCUCGAUCUGGCAGAGCGCCCAGCUGUCAACUGGGUGUCUUUCCCAAAGACAUGCGGGUUCAAAUCCCGUCCGCGGCG